rnacentral:lncRNA from 1 species
CAGUUGAGAUUUGUAUUCUAAAUUCUGUCAUUUUAAAGUAGAAAGGUGAGAUUACCUCUUCUGAGCAUAACGUAAUCAUAUUUUAAUUAUUAAUUAAGACUUUUAUAUCUAUAUAUAUUUAUAUAUUAUAAAAUUAUGUAUGAAUUUAAUAAAUUUUAAAUGAAAAUAUAUUAUAGAUUUGGUCAAAACAAAAAUUAAGAUAUUAUUAAACUAGCAGACCGAAAAAAAAAGAAGCGUAUGAAAAAAAUUUAUUGAUCCUAACAGAUAUUAUUAAACCCUAUUAGAUUUCAUGAAUAUGUAUUUUUUGAAAAAAAAAAAUGAAAAAAGAAGCGUAUGAAAAAAAAAUCAUACUUUGUUUGUUUUUUUAAUGGGUGAGCCGACUCCGGCCCAACUGCUGUAGUUGAUACUGGAGCUAAUUUGGCUAUAGUACCAACUGCUGCAGUUUUGCCUUCUCGUGCAGAUGUAACUGCAGCAGAUGGGCCUAACUAUACCAAACCAAACAAAAAUUUAAUAGAUAUAUAUAUUUUCAACUACAGUGCAAUUAUAAAUGAAUGCAACCAAACAGCGCCUAUUGCAAAUGCUCUAUUGAGUGCAAAAUUACUUUUCGACUUAGAAUUACUUUUAAG